rnacentral:rRNA from 1 species
GCUGGAAUACGGAUGCCGUGGGAGGAAUGAGUAGUGUAGCGGUGAAAUGCAUAGAUAUUACUCAGAACACCGAUUGCGAAGGCAUCUCACGAAUCCGUCAUUGACGCUGAGGCACGAAAGCGUGGGGAUCAAACAGGAUUAGAUACCCUGGUAGUCCACGCAGUAAACGAUGAUAACUAACCGUCGGCGAUACACAGUCGGUGGCCAAGCGAAAGCGAUAAGUUAUCCACCUGGGGAGUACGUUCGCAAGAAUGAAACUCAAAGGAAUUGACGGGGG